CUUGACGACCAUAGAGCGUUGGAACCACCUGAUCCCAUCCCGAACUCAGUAGUGAAACGACGCAUCGCCGAUGGUAGUGUG
rnacentral:rRNA from 1 species